CGGAACGGGUGAGUAACACGUGAGUAAUCUGCCCUGCACUCGUGGGAUACGCCAGUACGGAACGGUGUAUUAAUACGUGGAUAUGACGCCACCGUUCGCAGUGGGGGUGGUUGGAAAGUUUUUCGGUGCAGGAUGUGCUCGCGGCCUAUCAGCUUGUUGGUGAGGUAAUGGCUCACCAAGGCUUCGACGGGUAGCCGGCCUGAGAGGGUGACCGGCCACACUGGGACUGAGACACGGCCCAGACUCCUACGGGAGGCAGCAGUGGGGAAUAUUGGACAAUGGGCGGAAGCCUGAUCCAGCAACGCCGCGUGAGGGAUGACGGCCUUCGGGUUGUAAACCUCUUUCAGUAGCCACGAAGCGCAAGUGACGGUAGCUACAGAAGAAGGACCGGCCAACUACGUG
rnacentral:rRNA from 1 species